CGAGCGAACAGAAGGGAGCUUGCUCCCGGAUGUUAGCGGCGGACGGGUGAGUAACACGUGGGUAACCUGCCUGUAAGACUGGGAUAACUCCGGGAAACCGGAGCUAAUACCGGAUAGUUCCUUGAACCGCAUGGUUCAAGGAUGAAAGACGGUUUCGGCUGUCACUUACAGAUGGACCCGCGGCGCAUUAGCUAGUUGGUGGGGUAAUGGCUCACCAAGGCGACGAUGCGUAGCCGACCUGAGAGGGUGAUCGGCCACACUGGGACUGAGACACGGCCCAGACUCCUACGGGAGGCAGCAGUAGGGAAUCUUCCGCAAUGGACGAAAGUCUGACGGAGCAACGCCGCGUGAGUGAUGAAGGUUUUCGGAUCGUAAAGCUCUGUUGUUAGGGAAGAACAAGUGCGAGAGUAACUGCUCGCACCUUGACGGUACCUAACCAGAAAGCCACGGCUAACUACGUGCCAGCAGCCGCGGUAAUACGUAGGUGGCAAGCGUUGUCCGGAAUUAUUGGGCGUAAAGGGCUCGCAGGCGGUUUCUUAAGUCUGAUGUGAAAGCCCCCGGCUCAACCGGGGAGGGUCAUUGGAAACUGGGAAACUUGAGUGCAGAAGAGGAGAGUGGAAUUCCACGUGUAGCGGUGAAAUGCGUAGAGAUGUGGAGGAACACCAGUGGCGAAGGCGACU
rnacentral:rRNA from 2 species